GGGUAAAUAGCUUAGUUGGUUAGAGCAUCCGGCUCAUAUCUGGAAGGUCUGUGGUUCGAAUCCACAUUUACCCA
rnacentral:tRNA from 1 species